rnacentral:lncRNA from 1 species
CGACGAUAUUGGGAGGGGUAGGUGAGGGUCGCGAGGCUGCGUGAGCUUCUGAGUGAACGCGGUGCUUUUGGGAACGCGGGACGGGCGACCUGUGGCGCCAGGAGCGGGCCGAGGCGCGGCGGCGCGGCUGCCGUCUGGAUGGGAAGUUACGGUUUACAGCGAAGUCCACCCAGCGUUUCCGAGGUGAAGGCGCCGCGCCAGGCCGGGCGGGCGGCUGGUGAUGGGCAAGCCGGGUGUACCAAGUCCAUGAUGCACAUGAGGAGCGUUUGUAGCCAUCACUGAAUCACCUCAUGACUAGCGGGGCAGG